rnacentral:rRNA from 1 species
GAAAGUAAACAAGGGCGCAUGGAGGAUGCCUAGGCUCUCGGAGGCGAAGAAGGACGUGAUAAGCUGCGAAAAGUUACGGUAAGGCGCAAAUAGCCCUAGACCCGUAAAUAUCCGAAUGGGGCAACCCGGCCAGCAAUGGUCAUACCGCCAAGCGGUAAGCCAACGCGGGGAACUGAAACAUCUAAGUACCCGCAGGAAAAGAAAAUAACAAUGAUUCCGCCAGUAGUGGCGAGCGAACGCGGAACAGCCCAAACCACUCGUGUUACGGCACGAGUGGGGUAGAAGGAUCCACGAUACGGCAAGAAAUAAGUUAGCAGAAUACGAUGGAAAUCGUAGCCAAAGACGGUGACAGCCCAGUACGCGAAAACCGACAGAAGCCCAGUGGACACCUGAGUAACCCAGGACACGAGAAAUCCGGGGCGAAUCAGCGGGGCCCAUCCCGUAAGGCUAAAUACUCCCGAGAGACCGAUAGCGAACCAGUACUGUGAAGGAAAGGUGAAAAGCACUUCGAAUAGAAGAGUGAAAUAGUCCCUGAAACCGUGCGCCUACAAGCGGUCGGAGCAGCGUAAGUUGUGACGGCGUGCCUUUUGCAUAAUGAACCUACGAGUUACUUUCUCCGGCAAGGUUAAGGGCUUCAGGCCCGGAGCCGAAGCGAAAGCGAGUCUUAAUAGGGCGUGAUAGUCGGAGUGAGUAGACGCGAAACCAAGUGAUCUACCCUUGGUCAGGAUGAAGGUUGGGUAACACCAACUGGAGGUCCGAAUGGGUAUACGUUGAAAAGUGUUCCAAUGAACUGAGGGUAGGGGUGAAAGGCUAAUCAAACUUGGAGAUAGCUCGUACUCCCCGAAAUGCAUUUAGGUGCAGCCUUGACCAUUACUAAUGUGAGGUAGAGCGACUGAUAAGAUGCGAGGGCUUCACCGCCUAUCAAGUCUUGACAAACUCCGAAUGCGCAUCAGUUCUACCGCAGGAGUGAGGGCAUGGGUGCUAAGGUCCGUGCCCGAGAGGAGAAGAAUCCGGACCACCUGCUAAGGUCCCGAAAUAACAGCUAAGUUAAACUAACGAAGUCAGAUUGCUAAGACAGCUAGGAUGUUGGCUUGGAAGCAGCCAUUCAUUUAAAGAGUGCGUAACAGCUCACUAGUCGAGGAGUCGGGCGUGGAUAAUAAUCGGGUAUUAAGUUGUCUACCGAAGCAGUGGGAUCAUUUAUAUGAUCGGUAGGGGAGCAUUCCAGUCAGCGUCGAAGGCGUACCGUGAGGUAUUCUGGAGCGUCUGGAAAAGCAAAUGUAGGUAUAAGUAACGAUAAAGGGGGUGGGAAACCCCCUCGCCGAAAGACUAAGGUUUCCUGAUCAACGCUAAUCGGAUCAGGGUCAGUCGGGUCCUAAGGCUCAGCCGAACGGCGAUGCCGAUGGCAGAAACGGUUAAUAUUCCGUUACUACCUUCAGGAGUGACGUGGAGACGCAGUAGUGACAGUGCCGCCAUCUGACGGAAUAGAUGGUUGAAGGGUGUAGGAGUCGAUCAUGGCAGGCAAAUCCACCAUGAGAUCCGAACCUGAUAGUAUGCCGCGUCCUUCGGGACAAGGCAAUAGUGCGCGUAAGCAUGCUGCCGAGAAAAUCCGCUAAACUUAAUCCUGCAGGUACCCGUACCGCAAACGGACACACGUAGUCGGGUUGAAUAUACUAAGGCGCUUGAGUGAUUCACGGUUAAGGAACUAGGCAAACUGACCCUGUAACUUCGGGAUAAAGGGUCCCAACGAGAGUUGGGCGCAGAGAAUAGGUCCAGGCAACUGUUUAACAAAAACACAGGGCUGUGCGAAAUUUCAAGAUGAAGUAUACAGCCUGACACCUGCCCGGUGCCGGAAGGUUAAGAGGAGAGCUAAUCGCAAGAGAAGGCUUGAAUUGAAGCCCCGGUAAACGGCGGCCGUAACUAUAACGGUCCUAAGGUAGCGAAAUUCCUUGUCGGGU